rnacentral:rRNA from 1 species
GACGAACGCUGGCGGCGUGCCUAAUACAUGCAAGCCGAGCGGACGGAUGGGAGCUUGCUCCCAGACCGUCAGCGGCGGACGGGUGAGUAACACGUGGGCAACCUGCCUGUAAGACUGGGAUAACUCCGGGAAACCGGGGCUAAUACCGGAUAACUCUUUCCCUCACAUGAGGGAAAGCUGAAAGAUGGCAUCUCGCUAUCACUUACAGAUGGGCCCGCGGCGCAUUAGCUAGUUGGUGAGGUAACGGCUCACCAAGGCGACGAUGCGUAGCCGACCUGAGAGGGUGAUCGGCCACACUGGGACUGAGACACGGCCCAGACUCCUACGGGAGGCAGCAGUAGGGAAUCUUCCGCAAAGGACGAAAGUCUGACGGAGCAACGCCGCGUGAGUGAUGAAGGUUUUCGGAUCGUAAAACUCUGUUGUCAGGGAAGAACAAGUACCGGAGUAACUGCCGGUACCUUGACGGUACCUGACCAGAAAGCCACGGCUAACUACGUG